rnacentral:miRNA from 1 species
GAUGAGAGGGGAGGAUGAGAGGAAGGAGUAACAAAAGUGAAAUAAAAAAACUUGAAAGUGAAAACAAGUUGAAAUAGAUUUCAGUUUUUAGUUUUUGUUUUCACUUUUGUUACUCCUCUCUCCCAUCCUCUCCUCUCAUCU